rnacentral:misc_RNA from 1 species
GAUGAAGAACGUAGCGAAAUGCGAUACGUAAUGUGAAUUGCAGAAUUCAGUGAAUCAUCGAGACUUUGAACGCACAUUGCGCCCCCUGGUAUUCCGGGGGGCAUGCCUGUCCGAGCGUCAUUGCUGCCCUCAAGCACGGCUUGUGUGUUGGGCCUCCGUCCUCCUCCCGGGGGACGGGCCCGAAAGGCAGCGGCGGCACCGCGUCCGGUCCUCGAGCGUAUGGGGCUUCGUCACCCGCUCUUGUAGGCCCGGCCGGCGCUUGCCGACACAUCAAUCUUUUUUCCAGGUUGACCUCGGACCAGGUAGGGAUACCCGCUGAACUUAAGCAUAUCAAUAAGCGGAGGA